GGCCUAAUGGCCCAAUGGCAAGGCGCUUGACUACGAUUCCAAUUAAAAAAUCAAAUCAAGAGAUUCCAGGUUCGACCCCUGGUUAGGUCA